rnacentral:rRNA from 1 species
GGUUAAGUGACUAAGCGUACACGGUGGAUGCCUAGGCAGUCAGAGGCGAUGAAGGGCGUGCUAAUCUGCGAAAAGCGUCGGUAAGGUGAUAUGAACCGUUACAACCGGCGAUACCCGAAUGGGGAAACCCAGUGUGUUUCGACACACUAUCAUGUCAUGAAUACAUAGUGGCAUGAGGCGAACCGGGGGAACUGAAACAUCUAAGUACCCCGAGGAAAAGAAAUCAACCGAGAUUCCCCCAGUAGCGGCGAGCGAACGGGGAGGAGCCCAGAACCUGAAUCGGCUUGUGUGUUAGUGGAAGCGUCUGGAAAGUCGCGCAGCAAAGGGUGAUAGCCCCGUACACUAAAAUGCACAGGUCGUGAGUUCGAUGAGUAGGGCGGGACACGUGACAUCCUGUCUGAAUAUGGGGGGACCAUCCUCCAAGGCUAAAUACUCCUGACUGACCGAUAGUGAACCAGUACCGUGAGGGAAAGGCGAAAAGAACCCCGGCGAGGGGAGUGAAAUAGAACCUGAAACCGUGUACGUACAAGCAGUGGGAGCACCUUCGUGGUGUGACUGCGUACCUUUUGUAUAAUGGGUCAGCGACUUAUAUUUUGUAGCAAGGUUAACCGUAUAGGGGAGCCGUAGGGAAACCGAGUCUUAACUGGGCGAUUAGUUGCAAGGUAUAGACCCGAAACCCGGUGAUCUAGCCAUGGGCAGGUUGAAGGUUGGGUAACACUAACUGGAGGACCGAACCGACUAAUGUUGAAAAAUUAGCGGAUGACUUGUGGCUGGGGGUGAAAGGCCAAUCAAACCGGGAGAUAGCUGGUUCUCCCCGAAAGCUAUUUAGGUAGCGCCUCGUGAACUCAUCUUCGGGGGUAGAGCACUGUUUCGGCUAGGGGGCCAUCCCGGCUUACCAAACCGAUGCAAACUCCGAAUACCGAAGAAUGUUAUCACGGGAGACACACGGCGGGUGCUAACGUCCGUCGUGAAGAGGGAAACAACCCAGACCGCCAGCUAAGGUCCCAAAGUCAUGGUUAAGUGGGAAACGAUGUGGGAAGGCACAGACAGCCAGGAUGUUGGCUUAGAAGCAGCCAUCAUUUAAAGAAAGCGUAAUAGCUCACUGGUCGAGUCGGCCUGCGCGGAAGAUGUAACGGGGCUAAACCAUGCACCGAAGCUGCGGCAGCGACGCUUAGGCGUUGUUGGGUAGGGGAGCGUUCUGUAAGCCGUUGAAGGUGGCCUGUGAGGGUUGCUGGAGGUAUCAGAAGUGCGAAUGCUGACAUAAGUAACGAUAAAGCGGGUGAAAAGCCCGCUCGCCGGAAGACCAAGGGUUCCUGUCCAACGUUAAUCGGGGCAGGGUGAGUCGACCCCUAAGGCGAGGCUGAAAAGCGUAGUCGAUGGGAAACAGGUUAAUAUUCCUGUACUUGGUGUUACUGCGAAGGGGGGACGGAGAAGGCUAGGCUGGCCGGGCGACGGUUGUCCCGGUUUAAGCGUGUAGGGGGUGUGACCUGGUAAAUCCGGUUGCAUACUAACCCUGAGGCGUGAUGACGAUGCACUACGGUGCAGAAGUAGUUGAUGCCCUGCUUCCAGGAAAA